UACGUAGGUGGCAAGCGUUGUCCGGAAUUAUUGGGCGUAAAGCGCGCGCAGGCGGUCCUUUAAGUCUGAUGUGAAAGCCCACGGCUCAACCGUGGAGGGUCAUUGGAAACUGGGGGAACUUGAGUGCAGAAGAGGAAAGUGGAAUUCCAAGUGUAGCGGUGAAAUGCGUAGAGAUUUGGAGGAACACCAGUGGCGAAGGCGACUUUCUGGUCUGUAACUGACACUGAGGCGCGAAAGCGUGGGGAGCAAACAGG
rnacentral:rRNA from 1 species